CACAGUCAUAAGACAGGAGAAAUUGUCGAUGAAUACCUUCAAGUACUGGAACAUUUUUGUCAAAGGAAUGAUAAUACUAGAAAUGUCUUCAUCGCCAGUGUGUAUACAGCUAGGAAUUUCAUCUCGUUUCUGAUCCAUUAUACCUCAACAUCGACAGGAAAGGAUGUGAGAAACUGUUGAGACAUCGGGAAAAUGGUGCGUUUUUAUUCAGGCCAAGUCAAAAUUAUUGUCUAGUGUUGACUGUGAAGAAAAAUCACAUGUUUUGUAACUUUGGAAUCAAUAGAGCAUUCAAUGGAAAAAUUUACCUGCAUUCCGAAACUGCUUCAAUAAUCCGUACAUUUUCGAGCCUACAAGAAUUUAUCAAUUAUUACUGCCUUGAACCCAUUAUAUUUAGGAAAACUGAGGAUCCUGACGAAUGGGAUGAAAUAUGCAUGAAUCCGUCCCUUGGAAAUGACGCAUUUCAGAAAAACCGGAUAAAAAAAUUUAUUGUUAUUGAACAGUCUCACACAAAGUUGACUAAAAGUCCAUAGGAUAUGGAAAAGUGAUCAGAAACCCCUGCUUAUUUGAGGAAUUUGACUAUUGCGGCAAUGAAAUGAAAAAGUAUUGUGAGAAUGGUUGAAUUUGUAUAUGAUAUUUCAAUAAAACAGUGAAUACAUACCCUUUUUGUACA